UUUUAAAUGAACAGAAAAACAUCCUUAUAGAGCAGGGAAGUUGGAGGCUAAAUCUCAAAAAAUGAGGUGAUGCCUAUGUUUGAUUUGGCUGAUCCAGAUAAGGAGUAAGCAUGUCAGUAUAUGAAGCAUUAAUGCUGAUGUUCGCGUUUGCGACAUUGGUUUUAUGCAUCAUAAAUAUUGA
rnacentral:sRNA from 1 species